AGAUUCUGUUAAGGUGAGAACUGAACGGAAUUUUAAUAGAGCUUGCCGGAGAUUGAGAAUUCGAGUGCAAGCUGGAAACGGAGUACCGAAAAAUGCUGCCGCCGGCGUCGGCGGCAUCGAUUUUAGUGAUCCUGAUUGGAAGUUAAAGUAUUCUAGAGAAUUUGAAGCUCGUUUUAAUAUUCCUCAUAUGACUGAUGUAUUCCCUGACGCCGUUUCGUAUCCUUCUACUUUUUGUCUAAAAAUGAGGACUCCAAUAACUGAAAAGUUCGCAGAAGGUUACCCCUCAGAUGAAAAAUGGCAUGGUUACAUUAAUAAUAAUGACAGAGUUCUAUUGAAAGUAAUUAAUUAUUCCUCCCCCACGUCUGCUGGUGCCGAGUGCAUUGAUUCCAAUUGUUCAUGGGUAGAGCAAUGGGUUCACCGUGCUGGUCCUCGAGAGAAAAUAUUUUUCAAGCCAGAAGAGGUGAAAGCAGCGAUUGUAACUUGUGGUGGUCUUUGCCCCGGGCUUAAUGAUGUUAUUCGACAGAUAGUUAUCACCCUUGAGAUAUAUGGAGUGAAGAAAAUUGUGGGAAUACCUUUUGGAUAUCGUGGGUUUUCGGAAAAAGGUUUAGCCGAAAUGCCAUUAUCCAGGAAAGUGGUGCAAAAUGUUCAUCUUUCGGGCGGAAGCUUGCUGGGAGUAUCACGUGGAGGACCUAAAGUUAGUGACAUUGUGGACAGCAUCCAGGAAAGAGGAAUUAACAUGCUCUUUGUGCUGGGUGGAAAUGGUACACAUGCUGGUGCAAAUGCAAUUCAUGAUGAGUGCCGUAAAAGACGUAUAAAGGCAGCUGUAGUUGGUGUGCCAAAAACUAUAGACAACGAUAUUAUGCUUAUGGAUAAGACAUUUGGUUUUGAUACUGCCGUUGAAGAAGCACAGAGAGCCAUUAAUUCUGCUUACAUUGAGGCACACAGUGCAUAUCGUGGUAUUGGAAUUGUGAAGUUGAUGGGCCGUAGUAGUGGGUUUAUAGCUAUGCAAGCAUCCCUAGCUAGUGGACAAAUAGACAUAUGCUUGAUUCCAGAGGUGCCUUUCAAUCUGCAUGGCCCUCAUGGUGUAUUGAGGCAUCUAAAAUAUCUGCUCGAGACAAAGGGAUCAGCUGUGGUCUGUGCAGCAGAGGGAGCUGGACAGGAUUUCCUUGAGAAAACCAAUGCAAAAGAUGCAUCUGGAAAUGCUGUACUUGGAGACAUUGGUGUUUAUUUGCAACAAGAGGUUAAAAAGUACUUUAAGGAGCUCGGACAGACAGCUGAUGUGAAAUACAUAGAUCCUACUUACAUGAUCCGUGCAUG
rnacentral:misc_RNA from 1 species